CUGCAGGGAUGAUUUAAAACCUGACUCUCUCCCUGAUGGUGCAGUGGAGAAAAGAGAAAACUUUUCUGAGUAAA